UGGGGAAUAUUGGGCAAUGGGCGCAAGCCUGACCCAGCAACGCCGCGUGAAGGAAGAAGGCUUUCGGGUUGUAAACUUCUUUUCUUAGGGACGAAGCAAGUGACGGUACCUAAGGAAUAAGCCACGGCUAACUACGUGCCAGCAGCCGCGGUAAUACGUAGGUGGCAAGCGUUAUCCGGAUUUACUGGGUGUAAAGGGCGUGUAGGCGGGAUUGCAAGUCAGAUGUGAAAACCACGGGCUCAACCUGUGGCCUGCAUUUGAAACUGUAGUUCUUGAGUACUGGAGAGGCAGACGGAAUUCCUAGUGUAGCGGUGAAAUGCGUAGAUAUUAGGAGGAACACCAGUGGCGAAGGCGGUCUGCUGGACAGCAACUGACGCUGAGGCGCGAAAGCGUGGGGAGCAAACAGG
rnacentral:rRNA from 2 species